rnacentral:rRNA from 1 species
UACGUAGGGGGCGAGCGUUAUCCGGAUUUACUGGGCGUAAAGCGCGUUAAGGCGGUUGGCAAAGUUGGUGGUGAGAUCUCAGGGCUCAACCCUGAAACUGCCUCCAAUACUGGUCGACUCGAGUACGAGAGAGGAAGGUGGAAUUCCCGGUGUAGUAGUGAAAUGCGUAGAUAUCGGGAGGAACACCAGUGGCGAAGGCGGCCUUCUGGCUCGUAACUGACGCUGUAGCGCGAAAGCGUGGGGAGCGAACGGG